rnacentral:lncRNA from 1 species
GGUGGAUCCUGGCAGCAGCAGCGCAGGGGUCACGCUCCAGGCCUUUCUCCAAGCCCUCCCUACGCUGGGACGCAUUUACCCGCCUGCCUGUUGACUUCGGCUCGCACCCACUCCUGGGCUGCUCAGAGCUGCUGCUCCCUGUUGAUGAGCACUGUCACCCAGGAGCCCACGGGCCUCAGCGUUGAAGACCCCACAACGGCUGUCUCCAGUGAAUAGGAGCAAGCUCAAGCUCUCUCCAUGACGGCCGCAGAGCCUGGAGACCUGGUGCAGACCCCUCCUGCUCCCCCGAGCAGCUUCACAGCAACCAGAUGCAUGGGGUCUGCACCCUGGCAGGCCAGCCCCACACCCAUCACUGCACCCU